rnacentral:lncRNA from 1 species
CAUUAUUGAUUUCAAUAUAGUGUUAUUCAAUUAAAUGAGACAGAGUCCGGCUGGGAACCUCGAAAUUGAACUUCAACCACGACCCACCAACUCAAAUCCAAACCAAAUAGAAUUCCACCAACGACAGUGAAUACCCAGGACCAACAGCCAGACAGAUUUCAAACCCAAAAAUAAUGACCUCGAUAUGAAAACCAAGAUCCGAACCCAAAACGACGACUGAUGAAACUCAAAAUCCAGUUUCAAUUUUGAAUCACCAAAAUAGACGAACCCAAGCUACAAAAAUCUGAUAAAAAACUAAGCACCCGCAUGACUUGAACUUCGGUGAGCUAACAGUGCCCAAAAUAGACAAAAGUAGGUCGGAUUUUGGAGAGUUUGAAUAUUUUCUAAAUGGGGUCUCUCGAAAACUUUUGAAAAUGAACUAUUCUUGUGAUAUUCUUGUUUCCCUAUCGGACUCAUCCAUAAAUUAAUAGAGAAUGAUGAGAUUCCAGGAAAAUAGUUGCCAGAACAAUGAUCAAACCCACUGAAACCUAUUUUUGAGUAACAUGUAAUCAACACAGUUUUCUUCUCCAUUUCAGAUCUCGACUUCGAAUAUCUCUCUCUCUCUCGUGAAUCUCUCAGUGUGUAUAUCCCCUGUUGUGCAUGUGUUCAACAGGUGUAUAUAGUAGCUCUAUGUGUAUCUCCUAUGUGGAGAAGAAAAGGAAAGUUGGGGUCUCUCUGUAUUUCUAUUUAUGUAUGUGAGGAUGAUGAUGAUCUCCUUUUAUUAAUAAUGGUGUGUUUAGAAGAAAAAAAGAGAUGGACCGUGUUCCAUUCUUUUUUCAUCAAUUGAAAAUAUUGAUUCAUGAUGUAGUGGGUACUGUGUGUAGCGCGUGAGCAUGAAAAUGACGGUGGGUCUGUGAAUUGUCAGCCCCCCUGUGAGUGAGAAUUGUUUUCUUUUUUAAUUAUUCUAUGGGCCCUUGAAAGUCUCUAUCCAAAAAUGGAAGAAUUUUUUUUAUCCCCUCUCUGUUAAAUGAUAAUUAAAAUAUAAAGGGAAGGGGGCACAUGGGGUAAGUGGUUAGGUGGGGUAUGUGAGGUUUUAAAAUUUAAUAGGGAGGGGUUGUUAGAAUAAGAUAAAAUUAGUUAGGGGUUGUUAUUUUUGUAUUUUUGUGGGAUAUAAUCACAUGGCUGAGGGCACGCAGUAAGACGGAGGUAAAAUGGUAAAAAUAUUUUUGGGGAGAGACAAAAUUAGAUGUUUACAUCAUGCCCCAUUUGAAUGUAAAAACAAAGUGUUUUCAGGUAAAGAAGUAGACAACAAGACCAAAUUUUGACCCGACCCAUAUUUAAGGAGAGAAACAGAAAGAAGAAGAGAUACUAGAUCUUGACUUAGGACAUUCUACCUACCCAAUUUAUGAAGGAAUCAAUUGACACGCACCUCAAAGGGUUGGAAAGAGAAGGACUAUGCUAAGUUGGAGAGUCGAGUGAGGUUCCAUCGAGGUUUCGGUCCGCUGCUCUAUCAAUACAUCAAAACGAAAAUUACAAGUUGAAAAAUAAAUAAAAUUACAAAAUCCUAUCUAUGCAGCUUUUUUGGACUCUUGGAUUGAGUUUCAUCACCCUAUUCUUCAGGCGGGCUCCUGACUUGCAAUUUCUUCAACUUGUUGCUUGACUUUCAAUUUCCUCACCCUGUUCAGGUGGGCUCCUGACUUGCAAUUUUUUAAUUUGUUGAAUUUCAAUUUCUUCACCUUGUUGCUUGACUUUUAACUUCCUCACCUUGUUGCUUGACUUUUCAUUUAUUAGCCCUGUUUUUUAGGUGGGCUCUUGAAAUCACAUCAAAACUAAAAAGAAACUUAUCCCACACAAAGAAAUGCAUCUUUUAUGAGUUAAUUGGAAUGAUUCGACUAAAAGGUAUGUCUUAUAGGAGUCAAGGGGAAUGACUCGACUAAAAGAUAAGUCUUACACGAAUCACAGGGAAUAACUCAACUAAAAUGUACAUCUUCUAGGGGUCAAGGGGAAUGACUCGACUAAAAGGUACGUCUUCUAGGGGUCAAGGGGAAUGACUCAACUAAAAGGUACAUCUUAUAAGAAUCAAGGUGGAUGACUCGACUAAAAGGUACGUCUUCUAGGGGUCAAGGGGAAUGACUCGACUAAAAGGUACAUCUUCUAGGGGUCAAAGGGAAUGACUCGACUAAAAGGUACCUCUUCUUGGGAUCAGAGAGAAUGACUCGACUAAAAGGUACGUCUUAUAGUAAUCAAGGGAAAUAACUCGACUAAAAGGUACGUCUUAUAGGAAUCAAGGGCUAUGACUCAACUAAAAGGUAUGUCUUAUAGGAAUCAAGGGGGAUGACUCGACUAAAAGGUACGUAUUAUAGGAAUCAAAGGGGAUGACUCAUCUAAAAGGUAUGUAUUAUAGGAAUCAAAGGGGAAGACUCAACUAAAAGGCACGUCUUCUAGGGAUCAGAGGGAUUGACUUGACUAAAAGGUACUUCUCAUAGUAAACAAGGAAAAUGUCUCGACUAAAAGGUACAUCUUAUAGAAAUCAAAGAAGAAUGACUCGACUAAAAGGUACUUCUUAUAGGAAGGGAGAUGACUCGACUAAAAGGUAUGUCUUACUAGGAAUCAAGGGAGAUGACUCGACUAAAAGGUACGUCUUAUAGGAAUCAAAGGGAAUGACUCGAUUAAAAGGUACGUCUUUUAAAAGCCAAAGGGAAUGACUUGACGAAAAGGUACAUCUUAUAGGAAUCAAAGGGAAUGACUUGACCAAAAGGUACGUCUUAUAGGAAUCAAAGGAGAUGACUCGACUAAACGGUACGUCUUAUAGGAAUCAAAGGGGAUGACUCGACUAAAAGGUACAUCUUAUCAAGAUCAAAGGAAAUGACUUGACCAAAAGGUACGUCUUCUAGGAAUCGAAGGGGAAUGACUCAACUAAAAGGUACGUCUUAUAAGAAUCAAAGAGAAUGACUUGACUAAAAGGUAUGUCUUCUAAGGGUCAAGGGGAUGACUCGACUAAAAGGUACAUCUUAUAGGAAUCAAAGGGGAUGACUCGACUAAAAGGUACAUCUUAUAGGAAUCAAGAGAAAUAACUCGACUAAAGGUACAUAUUGUAGAAAUCAAAGAGAAUGACUCGACUAAAAGGUACGUCUUAUAGGAAUCAAAGGGAAUGACUCAACUAAAAGGUAAAUCUUAUAGGAAUCAAAGGGGAUGAAUCGACUAAAAGGUACGUCUUCUAGGUGUCAAGGGUAAUGACUCGACUAAAAGGUACGUCUUAUAGGAAUCUAAGGGAAUGAUUCAACUAAAAGGUACGUCUUCUAGGGUCAAGGAAGAUGACUUGACUAAAAGGUACGUCUUAUAGGAAUCAAGGGAGAUGACUAAACUAAAAGGUAUGUCUUAUAGGAAUCAAAGGAAAUGACUCGACUAAAAGGUAUGUCUUAUAGGAAUCAAAGGGAAUGACUCAAAUAAAAGGUACGUCUUCUAGGGGUGAAGGGGAAUGACUCAACUAAAAGGAACGUCUUAUAGGAAUCAAAGGAAUGACUCGACUAAAAGGUACGUCUUAUAGAAAUCAAAGGGAAUGAAUCGACUAAAAGGUAUGUCUUCUAGGGGUCAAGGGGAAUUACUCGACUAAAAGGUACGUCUUAUAGGAGUCAAAGGAACGACUCGACUAAAAGGUACGUCUUCUAGGAGUAAAGUUUUAAUUUAAGAAGUUUAUCACCCAGCAAAUGAAAACUGAAAUCCCUGGAAAAGAAAGUGUGUCUCCGAGGGAUAUAAGAUGAUUAAAUUUACCAUGAUUUGACUCUCAAACCUGUGCAGCAACAUUGCUUCCUGCAUUUGUAAAAGUAAGGCAUUGCAACCCUUGAUAUUUAUGCUCUGAAGUCCUUACUUUGAAGGUAAUAUGUUUCCUAUUUCAUCAAAGAAAACUUGUGAGUUUAAAACAUGGUGGAUGGUUUGUGGCUUUAGCUUUCAUAGAAAUCGCUCCUGCCCCUGUCACAUUUAAUCUUGCUUUCAACCAUUAGCAUGUGCCACUGACUUGCUGCAUCAUUGACCCGAACUCAGAUUAUUAAGAGUGACUUUGAAACAAAUACAAUAUCUUUUCUUUGUAAUGCUUCUCAGAUAAAUCCUUUGAACCUUGGUAUUUUCAUGAGUUCCCAGACUUGUCGAUUGACAAAAAUCUUGCAUGCCUUAUUUUGGCUCACAAUUAUGUCUCUUUCAUAUGUUGUCCUUUUGUAUUUCUUUGCACAAUUGAAGAAGCUGGUAGCCAGUUUUGAAAUCUUUUUUGACUUGUUUUGACAUGGACUUGACUCAAUGACAAGAGAAAAAAUGACAAUGAUUUUUAUUUGGAUAACUGACUAAAGAAAAUAAAACAAAAAUAAAGAAAAGAAAGGAAAGACAAUGAAUAUCCGUAUUUGAAACAAAGAAACAAAAAAUUAAUCGAAAAAUGACAGUCUACUCUAAUUAUUAUUCCAUGCAUUUUGAAUUAAGUAGCCUGAUUUUUUCAUCCAAACUUUCAACCAAUUGUUGUUGAGCUAAUGGCCUUGAAACUGAGUUUCUUCCUUAAGUCAAUUGUAUUUAAGACCCCAUUCGGCUAGUGGUGCCUUGAAGGGUUUUCACCUACAAGCUUUUCUCAUUUUUUUUUCCUCAGCUCACUAUUUCCUUAUGGUGUCUAUAAGGGUUUUCCACUAAUGAGACUCUCUUAUCUUCGUUUCCCUUAACUCACAGUCGUCUUAUGGUGCCCGUGAGAGUUUUCACUAAUAAGACUCUCUUAUUUUUAUCUCUCUCAACUUACUAUCAUCUUACGGUGCCCGUGAGGGUUUUCACCAAUAAGACUCUCUCAUUUUUAUUUCUCUCCUGAUUUCUUAUGUCGAAGAAGACAAGUAGUUCCCAAAUGCAUCAUUAUAUCCCUUGCAUGCUUAGCCUUAACAUCCUCAAAGAUUGAUCUAAAGGUCUUUCUUUGGUUGUAACUUGGCUUUUGGAUAGGGUUAGAAAGAAAGGAUGGCAUGGGGCCCAAACGACACUUGAAGUAGGGUAGGACUUACAACUUUUCAAAUCGACUCAAACAAUGAGAAUUAACUCAUGCUCCAGUUUCUUUUGACUGGGUGACUCUAAAUUAUUUAUUUGGUUAGACCGAGCCCGGAGUAGGGCAGCCUAUGUAUCUCACCCCCAAGAGAGGAGAAUCAGGUCAUGCAUAGUUCUGGCAGAUUGUUCUUUUGCUUGAUUCUGAUUUUUUUUUUCUUUUAUUGACUUUUUUUUUCUUUUUGGGACCUUCUGACUCUAUUUUUUUCUUGACGUACUUUUUUUUUCUUCUUUUGGACACAUUUUUUCUCUCAUUUCUUUUUGAAACUUUCUGACUCUAUUGUUUUGCUCGACACUUUGCUUUUGAGCUUUGCUGACUCUAUCUUGAUUCUAAAAGAGGGGUAUGAAAGAAAAUAGGACUAAAUCUCAAAUAGGGUAAACAAAGGAUGACACGAUGUUUGGAUAGCAUAAUGAAAUGCCUUCGUCAUAUCAAUCCUUGAAAAUGCAAGCACAUAACAUGCAAUUUGAAAGUUGUAGAUGAAGAUCAUGUGCGACAUCUUUUACAAUAUUAACUUUGACUGAGUCUGUGCGUCACUACUUCUUCUGCACUUUUCUAGCAUACAACUCCACUUUUGUUGUACAUUUCUUACAUUGAAUGACUCAUGAUUUCAUGGAGAUGAUUUUCUUUCUGUUCCUCUUGAUAUAGGAUCACGCAUCCACUGUUUGACCUAAUUGAGGCAUGCCUUACAAUUGAUGACCAAGUUAUUCUGGAGAUUCUUAAAGCAAUUACCUAAAUUUUGAAAGAAGGUUUCAACAUGGUCACCAAAUGUCUUAACACGCUACCUAUUUAUCACAUGCUUUUUCUAACUUUAGCCCUGUGAUUCAAAGUUCAUGGUCAAAUUGGAUUUUAAGAUCUAGCGAAGAAUUCCGCCAACAUGUCAUAUCACUAAAGCCAACAUAAAAUGUACUAUGUAAAGAAAACAAACAAAUAACAUAUAUUUAAACACAAAGGAAAAAGGGACACUUUAUUUAGUUGAAAUAAAAUAUAGAAAAGGUUUGAACAUAAACGACAAAAGAGACAAAACAAGAUAGAUCCUGAACUACCACCCUGAAAUAAUUUGGAUAACAGAAAAAAAAAAAAAAAACUAUCAGACCUCUUCCUAGUAGGGAGAGGGGUGACUUCUCAAUUGCUCAGCCUGACAUAUUAGCCACUGAUUUGCAUAUUAUCAUGACAAGAGCUUCCACCACUGUUAGAAAUAUUUCCUUCAACAAAUAAGUUCUAGAUCUCCAUGCUUAACUCAUUGCCUCCCACAUAUUGUACAGUACCGCAUGCCGGUGAAGAACUCUGUGGGAUGGUCGAGGGGCCAAUGUUUUGCACCAUAAUCAAUUUAUCUUGAAUCAUCUUUUCUAUUUCUCUUUUCAAAGUACGACAAUCUUCAGUACUAUAACCCUAAACAUCAGAAUGAUAUGCACACCAUACAUUAGGAUCAAAAUUUAUUGUAUGUGGGUUAGGUAUAUACCCAAGGAAAGAAGUAAUCAUGCUCCUAUGUCUCAAUCUCUGGAAUAAACUGGCAUAGGACUCCCCAAUAGGAGUGAAAUUAUCCUUUUCCUUCCUCCUCUUUGUGAACUCUGGCCUCGGAUGAAACUUAAAUUUAGAGGUUCCUUGGUAAAUUAAUGGGGGUCGAGGAUGAUGUUGAGGGACAGGUGCAUGCCAUUGUGGAUAAGAGACAGAUGGGUACACAAUUGUGCAUUGUUCAAAGGACAUUGAGGAAGUGGAAUGGACCUCCUUGUAAUUUGAAAAGAGAAACCUUAUUGCAGAUGAAUAAGUGGAUUUGAUAUGUAAGCUCGGGAUUAAGGCUGAGUUGGACCUCUUAAACUCUGCUUUGGCCCAGACAUGACAACAGAUGCGUUUUCUUUUUUUUUCCUUUAGUUUCCCUUGAAUGAUUGCAAGAUUGUCCCAAAUGUUUCACAGAAUUAUUCUGUCCACCAAGCUCCUCAAAUUUUGAUGUCUUAAAGCUUGGAGGAAGGUUAACACUUGAAAACAUGCCCCAGUUUUAAUAUGAAACAUCUUCAUAGCCCACAAGUCCCAAGGAACUUUUCAUAUCAUUUUUCACACUCUUAACAUUCCCAACCAUUUUCUCUGGGUCUUCUAGCAUGCUAGGCUUCUUAGUAAGAAAUUUUGGUGGUCCACUUAACUUAACUGUAGGCCCAAGAGUAUAACAAUGAUCAUCAAGAGUAUUGAACAUGGAUUCACUAAUGAACUAGGGAAGCAUAAUUGUUGGAUUGAUAGACAAAGUGGAAGCAUUAGUGAAGCUUGAUCAACAAAAGCACAAAUAAUAUGUGGUGAUGUGAAUAUGGUAGACUUAUACUAAGGAGAUAAAGAAAGAGUGGUGGAAAUAUUAAGGUGCAUUUGAUGUGGAAUAGAUUCUGCGGCAUACUGUGGUGCAUCAACUAUAGUAGGAAACUAACUUUGUGAUUUUGGUGGAAGACUCAAGGUAUUUGCAAGGUCAAAAAUGGGGAACUGAGGUGGAGGCAGCUCACUGGCCCAAGCUCAGUACAUUUCCAUCAUUUGUUGUCUCAGUCUCAAAUUCUCUUCCUUUAAACUCUCAAUUUCCUGACUCUUUGUUUCAUCCAUUGUGCCACUCUCUAUAUCCUUGUUGGGCACAACUAAACCUUCCUUGGAUUUGGUGUGAUAUGGAGGACUAGCCAGGAAGCCACAAACCAACCACCUUAAACUAACUGAACAAGAGGCAACAAAUAUGUUAGAGUUCAACAUUUAUCAAAACCUCUCUUUUUUUUAUCUUAUUUUUUUGAAAAGAUCACCAAACCCAAUAAGGGCGCCUACGUAUCUCACCCCCGAGAGGGGAGAAUCGGGUGGGCAUAGUUCAUGAAGUCUAACCAAAAUAGUCAAUUAAACUCUUUUUCUUUUCUUUUUUCUUGGAACUUUAAGAAGAAAAGAAAAUAACAAAUUACCAAAAGAAUUGGGGAAAAUCUGUUUUGUGUUUUUCAGAUUUAAAUUCCCUAGACAAAAUGAAACCUAUGACAACCAAAGAAAAAUCUCUUUUUGAAAUUUUCGAUUCUAAAUUUCAUAUGAAAAUGAAACUUGAAACUAUUAAAGGAAAUUUUUUUUGUGGUUUUCUUUUCGAAGAUGUAUAUGACACACCUACUCUAAAUGAAGAGUGAAGCAAAUCCUUUUUGGAUUUUUUUUGCAUAUUCCUAUAAAAAAUAAAACCUAUGAUUACCAGAGAAAAUCUUUUUGGGUUUUCAAUUUCGAAUUUCAUAUGAAAAUGAAAAUUGAAACUAUUAAAGAAAAAUCUUUUUGCAUUUUUCUUUUAAAGAAAUAUAUGACACCUACUCUAAUAAAGAGUGAAGAAAAUCUUUUUUUUUUUAAUUUUUCAAAUAAGGUCCCCGAACCAACAAUAGGCUGCCUAAAUAUCUCACUCCCGAGAGAGGAAAAUCAAGGUUGAGUAGUUCAUCCAAAUUGGACAAUUAAUGAUUAAAUCACAGAUUGCACCCUGACUUGAGACACGACCAAAGACACACGAUAAACAACAUACCAAAAUCUUUUUUUUUUUUGAGUUUUCAAUUUGACACUUCACAUAAAAAAUGACACCAACAGCUAUGAAAGAAAAUCUUUUUGGUGUUUUCUUUAUAUAAAAUGUGCGAAACUUCUACUAUAUUUUUAGCAUUUUUUUCUUUAUAAAAAUACUCCAAUUAAAAAAAAAAAAAUUUUGAAAUUUUCGAAUUAUGAAUGUAUGGUAAAGGAACAAAAGGAAAAUCUUUUUUAUGUUUUUGAGAAAAAUGAGUGCGAAAGGUAAAAAAAUCAUUUUGAAUUUUUGGAUUGUGGAAAACAAAAGCCAUAAAAAACUCUAAAAACUACGAAACCUACUUUUUUUUUCGACUCACUUUUUCUUUCUUUUUCCUCUCUUUUUUUUCAAUUUUUCCUUGCCUACACACUCAAAAAAAAUUUCAAUUUUUCCAUGCCUAUACACUUUCUUUAAUUCUAGCAUACGUUUUCCCCCAAAUUAAUCCAUCAAAUGACCAUAUUACCCUUAAAGAUGCAACAUUUAGCACGUAGAGAUGCUUUAGAGGUGAGUCUUCUACAAAGGGCCAUGUGGGUCCCGUUAGGUCUCAAUAUGAUGCAGAUAAGCAUAACCUAAAGGCUGACCUACGUUGAGGUUUACUAACAAGGCUGUUCGGGGGAUCAUAUGGCCGAUAGUGGCUAUUUUGCUUUCCACCCACUCCAUACGUCCGAAGGCUCCCCCUCCUAAAAUAAAGGUGACUCAACUAGAGUUUGUGUGCACGACGUGUACUCCAGGACUUGUUGCAGAAAGAAUGACUCGGGUUAUGCACAUGAUGCCAGAUAUAAAGCAGUAACACAUAUGAUAAAAACUAUAAAUAAAGAGCACGUAGGCACUCAAAAACAAUAAAUAAUAACACAAAACAGCACAAACAAAAUGUCUAUACACCUAUAAUACCAAACUAAGCCGAUACAACUCCAAAAAAUAAGCUCGAAUUUUGAAAAGUCUCCAGCAGAGUCGCCAGAGCUGUCACACCCUUUUUUUCACUCCAAAAAGAUUCAUUUCAAGUCUGAAAGGGUUUUAUUAUUAAGUGACAACAGAUGAAAAUUUGUUUCGAAAAUGGAUUAUUUACUUUUAAACUCAGAGUCGCCAAUUGGGAUAGACUGGUGUGCCAAUUCACCUUUGAAAAAUCCUUUUCAAAAUGAUUUGACUCUUGAAACUGGUUUGCGAACAGAGAUUCCGGUUAAGGAAUUCUGUUGACCGAGGGGAAGAUAUUAGGCACCCCUCGAUCCCGUGGUUCGACCACGAUUUCUUGGUAGAAUGAAUCAGCUAAUUUGGAAUUACGAUGUACAAACCACAUAGAAACAUGUAAAACAAUCAAACAAACAAACAAAACAAAACGAAUCCAAAAUAUAGUGUCCAGUCCGAGUCAUACAAUCCCGAAAUAGAAAAAUACGGAAAUGUAAAUCAUAAUCUAAACUAAUCCUAGACUAAGCUCCAAUGCCUCAUCCGAUGCCUCGGGCCUUCAUCACGAACGUCCUCCAGGUACAAGAUACUUUGGGGCAUUCCCUAGAUAAAUCAAUACAAAUCCCUCGAGGCAUUCCCUGGCUAAAUGAAUACAGUCGAUCCAAAUGCGGUAAACAAAACCUUUCAACACAAAAUCCAAACAUUCCACAAUCCACAAGUUCUAAAUUUUCCUAUCUGUGCCUACUGUUUGCUUACCCAGCACGACCAAUCAUGGCACUAUUACAAUCAAUAACAUAAAUGAAUCAAAACGACAAUAUUAAUUUUUAUCAACUUUCAAUUCUCACCCCACUUUUAUUCUCAAAUUAUCGAUUUUAAUUCUCAAACAAGAUAUCAUUUCAUCGCACAACACAUAAAUAGUGAACCAACACCAAGUAAUUAUUCACCAUCAACAAAGAUCAAAAAACACGUAAACGUUCAAUCCAUAACACCAAAUAUCAUAAAGAGUGAAAUAAAAAGAGAGGGAGAAGAGAAUUGGACCUCAAUUAUCGAUUUCAAUGCAGUGUUAUUCAAUUAAACGAGACAGAGUCCAGCUGGGAACCUCGAAUUGAACUUCAACCAUGGCCUACCAACUCAAAUCCAAAUCGAAUGGAACUCCACCAAUGACAGUGAAUACCCAGGAUCAAUAGUCAGACAGAUUUCAAACCCAAAAAUAAAUACCACGAUAUGAAAACCAAGAUCCGAACCCAAAACGACAACUGAUGAAACUCAAAAUCUAGUUUUAAUUUUGAAUCACCAAAAUAGAUGAACCCAAGCUGCAAAAAUCUGAUAGAAAACUAAGUACCUGCACGACUUGAACUCCGGUGAGCUAACAGUUCCCAAAACAAAUGAAAGUAGAUCGGAUUCCGGAGAGUUUGAAUAUUUUCUAAAUGGGGUCGCUCGAAAACUUUUGAAAAUGGACUUUUCUGGCGAUAUUCUCAUUUUCCUAUCGGACUUGUCCAGAAAUCAACAGAGAACGAUAAGAUUCCGGCAAAAUAGUCACCGGAACAGUGACCAAACCCACUAAAACCCAUUUUCGAGUAACCCAAAAUCAACGUAGUUUUCUUCUCUAUUUCAGAUCUCGACUUCGAAUCUCUCUCUGUCAUGAAUCUCUCAGUAUCUAUAUCCCCUGCUGUGCGUGCAUUCAACAAGUGUAUAUAGUAGCUCUAUGUGUAUCUCCUAUGAGAAGAAAAGGAAGGUUGGGGUCUCUCUGUAUUUCUGUUUGUGUAUGUGAGGAGUAUGUUGAUCUCCUCCCAUUAAUGGCGGUGUGUUUAGAAGAAAAAAAAAGAUGGACCGUGUUCCAUGCUUUUUUCAUCAAUGGAGAAUAUCGAUUCAUGAUGUAGUGGGUACUGUGUGUAGCGCGUGAGUAUGAAAAUGAGGGUGGGUCUAUGAAUUGUCAGUCCCCCUGUGAGUGAGAAUUGUUUUAUUUUUUAAUUAUUUUAUGGGCCCUUGAAAGUGUCUAUCCCAAAAUGAAAGAAUUUUUUUCAUCCCCUCUCUGUUAAAUGAUAAUUAAAAUAUAAAUGGAAGGGAGGAAUGUGGGGUAGGUGGUGAGGUGGGAUAUGUGAGAUGUUAAUAUUUAAUAGGGAGGGGUUGUUAGAAUAAGAUAAAAUUAGUUAGGAGUUGUUAUUUUUGUAUUUUUGUGGGAUAUAAUCACAUGGGUGAGGGCACGCAGUAAGACGGAGGUAAAAUGGUAAAAAUAUUUUCGGGGAGGGACGAAAUUAGAUGUCUACAAUCAAUAAGGUUAGCUUUUUCUUCAAUAUUACUACGACAUUCCCAAGAGUAAUGUCCAAAUUUAUGACAAUUGUAGCACUCAAUUUCAGAUUUGUUAUACCUUAUUUCAUUGGUGCCUUGAUAAGAUCCACGUCCUCUUUCUCCCCGUUGUCUACGACCACGG